UACGUAGGGCGCAAGCGUUAUCCGGAAUUAUUGGGCGUAAAGAGCUCGUAGGCGGUUUGUCGCGUCUGCCGUGAAAGUCCGGGGCUCAACUCCGGAUCUGCGGUGGGUACGGGCAGACUAGAGUGAUGUAGGGGAGACUGGAAUUCCUGGUGUAGCGGUGAAAUGCGUAGAUAUCGGGAGGAACACCAGUGGCGAAGGCGACUAUCUGGGCUGAAACUGACGCUGAGGCGCGAAGGCUAGGGGAGCAAACAGG
rnacentral:rRNA from 1 species